ACCUAGCUGGCUCAGUCAGUGGAGCAUGCAACUCUUGAUCUCAAGGUUGUGGGUUCAAGCCCCACAUUGGGUA
rnacentral:tRNA from 1 species